GCGCCCGUAGUUCAAUUGGAUAGAUCACUGGCCUCCGAAGCCAGACGUGGCAGUUCGAUUCUGCCCGGGCGCGCCA
rnacentral:tRNA from 1 species